rnacentral:rRNA from 1 species
UACGGAGGGUGCAAGCGUUAUCCGGAUUCACUGGGUUUAAAGGGUGCGUAGGAGGGCAGGUAAGUCAGUGGUGAAAUCUCCAAGCUUAACUUGGAACUGCCGUUGAUACUAUCUGUCUUGAAUAUUUGUGGAGGUGAGCGGAAUAUGUCAUGUAGCGGUGAAAUGACUUAGAUAUGACAUAGAACACCAAAUUGCGAAGGCAGCUCACUACUCAAUCAUUGACUCUGAGGCACGAAAGCGUGGGGAUCAAACAGG